rnacentral:misc_RNA from 1 species
GAAUGAAAAUAAGUGACAGAACGAUAGUAGGAGAUAGAGUCAGAAGAGAUAUGUAUGAGUAAGUCACAAGUCAUUGAGAAGUACCAGAAUAAGAGUUAUGGUCGUAAAUAUGAUUGGAAUCAAUUCUGGAAGAGUUUGUUAGUGACAGGUAUCUUCUAAAAUACAGUAAGAUGUAAGGAUGUAAAAGAACAAGGGUAAGCAUACAAGGUAAGAAUAGAGUAUAAGUAAAGAUAGUAAAUCUCAAGAUGAUAUGUCAGGCAAAUUGGUGGUAUAAGAGAAGGAUUGUUGCAGUUGAUAUCUUAUAGGAAGAGAUGAUGAAAUUUCAAGAAAAAGACCAAGAGACAUGGGUUCAAUAUUAUUCUACAGACAAUAGUGUGCUAAUGAUUGUAGGAGGAAAUUUCUCCUUCUCUUCAAGUUUAGCUCGUGCUUUUAGCUCAAUAAGACUACAUAAGCAAGGGAAAUUAUGUUGAGGUAACCGGGUAUUUAAGAAGUUGGUAGGCACUAGUCCGUACGCAUUCUCUUUAAAAAGGAAAUGAUGAUAAGUGUGUACCUAAUGUUAAGUAUGAAAGAAUGAUCAGAGAGGUGACAGGAGUUAAAUU